UGGACCAAUGACGACAGCUUCCAGCGAAUGAGUCAUGGAUGAUGAAUAAUACAUGUUUGGAGCUCUGAGAUCCAA
rnacentral:snoRNA from 1 species